GGUGGAAGUCUUGAGAAACGUUCUGAGGUGCUUGGUACGUAUGCCUUAUGUGGGCUCAACCACAUAGGGGCAGUUGGUGUUGCCAUGGGAACGCUGAUCGCGCUGUGCCCCGAACGGAGGACCACCAUCACAAAAUAUGUACUGAGGGCAAACAUCACUGGGCAGAUGGCCUGCUUUAUGACAGCAUGCAUCGCAGGUUUGCUGUACGAUGAGGCUUUACAGUCGGCGUGAGCGUCUUUGAAAGUCCAAUGUGUCGUACCUUGAACAAGGAACACAGAACCAGUACAAUGUCAUGUUUUAUAAUAUUUCUCAAAUUUGGAACACCGCCAUUUGUCCAAUAAACAGAGACUAUAGCUGACAGUGUUUCAGUAUCACGAAUACCAUGUAUACUGUAAACUACUUUUAUAACUAAGACGCCUUUAAAAAAAUACGGUUUCAACAAACUGAAAUGAGUGGUCUUUUUAGUGUUAUAAGGUAUAACGUGUUAUAAACGCAGCUUACUGUAUUAUGAAUAUAUAGCUUGUAUCAUCAGAGUCGUAGUUAUGUAUUUUAAUAAUCGAUGGUAUUAUAGCUCAGUAAAGAAAUAUUACAAAUGUAUAUAGUAUUUGAAUAAACCUCUCCAGUGGUA